rnacentral:lncRNA from 1 species
AAGCACUAAAGGAAAAAAUAGCAGCUUACUUUCUUUUAUUUGUUUAUUAAACCAUGUUACUUUAAUUUCUUUCUAUUACAAUGCCUUAAGAAAAAAAUAGAAAUAAAAUGUUGCAACAGAAAGAAAUGGAAGUAGAAUGCUAUAAAUAACACACAAUUAAAUGAAAGUAGGGGGCUAUAGCUCAACUUAAUUGUGUCAUUGCUAAAAUGUUGCAGCAUGUACGCAAACUUGUUGUGACAUUCUUCUUUUAGGUUUUCUGCAAAUAAAAAGGCUGAAAUUUAGAAAAAUAAUAACAAAAUAAAAUAAUGAGUGCAUAAAGGCAUUAAUGACAUAGAGCAUGUGAUCAGAAAGAUAAUAACCAAUUAGCUUUAAAAGGAAAUCCAUUACCAUCAAGCUUUGCGACACCUGUGUCAACAUUGUUCACAAACAAAAUAGUUUUGGUCAAUAGUUAAAAGACAAUCCCCUGUUUAUUCCCUUUCUUAAUCAAAUAAGCAAUGUAAACAAAGAACAAACAACCAUGAAUAUUAGAACUAAAGCUAAGUAGGCUCUUCAAAUAAAUGAAACUUAAAAGAGAUGCAUGUAGCCUAGGCGGCAUCUGUGAUAUGAGGUGCAUUUACCAAGGAUAACAUUAGUAUAGAAAUAUGCUCAUGGAUCUUUUCUUUUUAUGUAAACCUACUUAUAUCAUGUGUGCUUCAAUAAAUAGAACCAAGGCAACAUGAACCCUAAUAAAAAAAACCUUAAGCAACUAUUACCGUAUUUUUUUUGGUUUCACCACAAAUCAAUAGCAACAUAAAAGGGCUUUUAAAAGGGAAAAAAUAUACUUGUAACUCCAAAAUACUCGGAGAAAACGGGUUACCUGGACAGACAGAUAAAAAUCAUAGAUAGUUAGAUUAGUCAAUUUUUUCAUUAAUCAACAUAUUGAAGGGGACAGAAAUUAGAGCAACAUAUGAUAAGUCCGAAAGGGAGAAAGACUAAUAGAAAGAGAGAAAGAUAGUAGAAUCCAAUACACAGACGACAGAGAUUCUUCACAGUUCACAUUUCCAAUAGAUAAAUGCUUGUAUAGGACUCACAAUUCACAGUUGUAAGGUGACAAUGGAUAUUGUUUCAUCAUUUUUUCUUCCUCACAUGUCACCUUCACAUGGACCUGACAGAAGUUGGCAGCAAAACAACAAUGAGGCAAUAUACAUAAAUAUAUCAACGUGAAAAAUAUAGAACAUGUUAUCAGUUAAAUUAAAAAAGAAAAUACAGAGCAUGAAUACUAACACAUAUAAUUGGAACUUGGUGUCUAAUGUACGACUAAUAGCUAUAUCAUCAACUUGUAUUAAAAAUGGUUGAAUAACAUCCUAUAUCUGUUAUGCAACUUUGUUAUGUCUCGUCUUCUUUAAGACUAUGGAAAACCAAUUGGCACAAAAUUCAAUGCUUUCAGGAGUAUGUGCUUAGUCUAAAUAAAACACCAAAUCACCAUGUGGACUUUGACUGUCACGCACUUGUUAAGAAAUAAUCUGAGCCGUUCCUUGUAGAUUUGUUGUUGUUUAUCCCUUUGAUGAAUUGAUCAGACAAACAAACUGUAUGCAACCAGAAAAAACAUUAGGAAUUAUUUUUUUAAGGAUUUAAUGAACCUAUGCCACCAAAUACUACACACAUACAUGCAACUACACUAAAUUUAAAGAUUAUUAUAACCUGCAAAAAUAGCUCCAAUGGUAGAAAGUGUUUCUUUUUAAAAAGAGAUCAUCCAUAUGAUAAUAAAGAAAUACAAAGUUUAUUCAUUACUCAUUAGUGAGUGAAGCAAGUGUGUCACUAUUUCCAGAAAUCAGCAACAAAUGAAAGCAUGUCAAGGCCCGCAAAUAGAAAGAAUACCCUACCACCACUGGAGAGAUUCUUGGUUGUCUCGGAACCGUUGGUCUACAAGAAGCCAUUUUCAUCGCCUAAAAGAACAUGCCAAGCUUGGUUUCAUCAAAAUCGUUCAAGUGCUAAAACAAUUGAAACAGAUACUUGAAAGUGUACUGCUAUUUCUUGCAUUUAAGCCAAACCUUAAACUUUCCAUUUGCAUACAGCCACUUACACCAUACACACCAGCCUAAAUUCAUUUCUUUCUACAAUAACUUUAAUCUUCAAUCCUUGUACUUUAAAAUUUAUUUAUUCUUAGAUAGAUACACACCAUGCCACACCACACAUACACACAUAGAUUUAUGAUUAUGAAAAUCAGAACACAACCACACACAUACACAAACAUAAAAUUAUGAUUUUGAAAAUCAAAACUGAAUUAUGAUUUUGAAAAUCGGAACGUAUAAGUAUAGUAUGUGUAAAACCUGCUAUAUUCGUAAUGGCAUUUGACAAAGCAUGAGCUAAUGAAACAUCCUUUCAAACACCAAACAAAUCCUCUCCUAAAAGCAAUUUUUUGGAACUUUUCCUUCACCGUAUCUAAAUCUGAAACUGCAACUCAAUUAUCACCCAAUUUAAUCAAUCAAUCCAAAAAAAAAUUGCAGGUUUAGGGCACAACAAAAUCAUUAAAUCAUGAAAUCAGAAUAAAACUCUAUAAAUAGCGGCUAUUAUCGUAUUACCUAAAAAUUUGUUGUCAUUGUUUGUGGUGCCUUCAUCACCUGCUCCGGGAUUCAUAUUUUGUUCAUCCUCAGUGAACGGAACCAUUUUAAAAAUUCAUGUAGUGAGGUUCACACAAUAAAGAUGAAUACAAACAGGUUAACAAAUCUUUUACUUUUUUCCUAUGUAAAUUCGAUUAAAAAUAAGGAUUUGGGAAUGAUCCUCCAAUAAAGAAUAGGAUUCUGAAGAGACAACAAUGGAGAUGGCAUAUUAUGAAUUCACCUUUUCUUGACAAAUCAUUGGGGAUAAAUUUAACGUCACGAUGGAAAGGGUUAGAGAGAGAGAGAGAGUGGGUUUUUGAGGAAGGAGACGGGUAACGAUGAUAGAUGAGUAUACACACAGCUCGAGGUAUGGGGUUCAGAAAAUUGAUCAAUUGAUUAAAAUCAAACUCGUUAGAAUAUUUACCUCCUGGUUUGAGAAAGAUUUCUUUUAAACCUUUUGAAACUAUUAUUUGUGAAAUAGAUUCCUCUUGCUUCUUGAUCAAUUGCUCAAUACACAUGUGUUCGUCAGUUGUAUACAGAUAAAUGCAGAGAAGGUCGAAGGCAGCCACAAACAAAUACAUAUAAAAUUAGACUUAGAGCUCAUAAAAGUGAUUUGCUCGUUCUUCCAAUGUUUCAACAAAAAAAACAUAAAAACCCACAAAUCAAGAAAUCCAAAUGGUUAAACAAAAGAUAGGGCCAAUAAUCAUUAUGUUCUUACCUACAUUUGGGCGGAUAAACAGAGAGGGUCGAGAACUGUAAUUGAGAAAUGAUCAUAACUUUGUGGAUCAGAGAGUUGAAGAAAAAUGUUGAAAAAUAGCAAUGCACCUCAUAGCUCUAUGAAUCAAAUCAAAGCCCCUUCACCUCACAGCACGAUCGACGAUGCUAGAAAAGAGAAGGAGGCAAAAUAUUAUCCGACACCACUCCCUUCUUUUCUCUUAUACCUAGCAUACCUUCAAAUCAACUCUAACAGAUGAUGGUGAACAUCAAAUAAAUAGAUGAAAACAAAUAAACACACACAAAGACAGGGAAAAAAAGAACGAAGAAACAUACAUACGGUAAUGGUAGAAGCUAGGGUUUUGAAGAGAUUAUGUCGAUGGUGGACCCUCAAAUGUGCAAUGGUGGCAUUGAUGUUGUCGAUAAGCAAUUCACUUUAGGGUUAGGGUUUCCGGUGUGCGAUGGUGGCGUUGAUGGUGGCAGUGAGAUAGAGUUGGUAGUAACCGAGGCUACAGGAGAUUGAAGAGAGUAAGGAGGGAAACGGAAGAGAUGUGGGAGAAAUGACGGCUGAUGGGAAGAUAUUAGGGUUUUCCAACAUUCAGACGAAGAAGUUAAGACCAUGAUGAUAAGUGUGUGUAUAUUGUAAGCUUAAUAGAUUGUACAUGGUGUUAUAAGAGUUAUACCUCUAAAUUUCAAGAAAUAUGCAAUAUCUUUAAUAAUAUAGUAAAGAUAUAUAGGUAAAAAUUGGAAAUUUUCUAUUUAUAAUUGACUUUGUGGUGAUAAACAUGAAAGAGGAUGAAGAUCUUCCUAUUAUCCUUGGACGCACAUUACUUAAUACUGUGCAUGCCUUGUUAGAUGCUCGUGAAUCAAAGCUCACCUUGCAAGUGGGAAUGGAAGAGAUGACAUUCGGAGUCGAAGGAUUUGAGAAGUCUAAGAUUCAAAAUGAUGUGUUCUUUAUGGAUAAAUAAAAUGAUCUUGAAGAGUUACAUAAAUUAACGGAAGAAGAGGUCCAAACAAGAGAAAAGCCUAAUGAAGUAAUCAAGCUCUCUAAACCAAGAGCCUCAAUCCCAAUGAUCUUUGAGGUAUUUGCCUUUAUUACACCAAAAAUACAAGAUGAAGAAGAGAUUUGUGAAAGUGAAGAGCUAAGUUCAAGUGAUGAUGAGGAUGAUAAACAAGGAAAGGAUGUAAAUGUUUCCAGAAUGGAGAUAGACAAUAAGGACUAGCUAAACACCAACUAAAGAACUCAUAUGAUGACGAAUCCAAAGGAGUUAAAAGAAAGCACGAGGCAUUCAACGUUUAACAAAAAACUAUAAGAACGCAUACAUAAGACGCAUUCAAGCUUACAAGAGAAGGUGAAAGGAGAAAAAAAGAGAAAAGGGAGAUCCCACACCGAACCACAACAAAUUAAGGUAAGAAAGAGUUUGACUCACGACUCCAUAAAAAGAAUCGUUUCUUAGAAGGAAAUCCGAGCCCGCUUUGCAUUUUCAUUUUUAUUAGUUUUGCAUUUUCAUUUAAGUUUUAAGAUAAGUCAUCAUAGUCAUUCUUUUAGGAAAGGUAAUAAAUCAAUUCGUUGGAUUAAAUUUAAGAGUGGUAAGAAUUUUUUGAAGGGAAAAAUAUAGGUUUCUGGUCAAAUUUUCUUGAAACCUCAAUGUGGGAUUAAGUACCACGAUGUGGGAAAUAAAAUUAUCAUGUUUUUUUCAAUCUGUUCAAAACUCACAAUGUGAGAGCUAUUGCUCACGAAGUAAGCUUUAAAAACAUGGAGGGGGGCAGCCUCUUGAAAUGACUCACAAACAUUUGACUUCCAUCUGUUUAAACCCAAUCACAAACGGAAAAAGACAUCAGUCCCCACACUUCGAUUUUCCACUAAUUUUCUUCAAAGUUUUCUCAAUUUCGUGUUCCAUCUUUGAUUUCAGUAAGAUACCCAUACUUUAAUCUUGCUAGUUUUACUAAUUUUUUGCAUUUAAGGUUAGGGUUUGUUCUUAAGAGGCAAACGUCGAAAUUGGUUAUUUUAUUAGUGAAUUUUUUGCUGCAUGUAUGGUUAUUAGACUUAGAAUCACAGCCUAAGGAAACCCCAACAUCGAUUUCAGUUCGAUUUGUCCUCAUAAUAACUAAUUGCAGUUUCGGCGUCACACUUUUGCCACGAUGUGAGCUUCUUAUGCUUACAAUGUGAAAACUAAGAACUAAGUUUUUUUGUUUUCUAUUAUCUGUUAAUCUUUGGUGUUUUAUGGGUUUGUUUGUGGUUAAUUUUAGAAGUAUCAUGGGAGCAAGAAGGGAAAUUCCCCAAGAGUAAGAAAAUGUUGAUGUUUCUAGCCUACACCCGCUUUAUCAAUUCCUAUAAAGUGUUACACAUUCGAUGUUGAACAAUUACUUGAACCAAUUGGGUUGGCUAUACCAUAGGGAGUUUUCUCUAACACCCGUUAUUGAUUGGUAUUGGCUUAAUGGGGUUGGAAUGGUAGAAGAGCUGGAAAGAUAUUAGCAAAAGCAAUAUGGGGGAGAUAGGUUUACUUAUAGAUGUAAUGGGUAGCGCAAUCUUUUCUUGAUUCAAGGGAAGGGUUUUAGGGAAUUGUAUGUGGAAUUCGUUGCUAUGGUUAAUUUUGAAGAACAGAAUAGUGAUCGAAGAUUCAAGCAAGCUCUUGCACUUCGACCGGGAGGAAUCUAUAGAGAAUGUAGCAUACUUGAGUUUGCUUGGAGAAUGGGAUUAUACACGGAAGAUGAAACAUGAUCUCCGGAUUUCAUUUGAUUUUUAUAGGAUUGUGUUUCAGACUUCACUGUCGGGAUGAUUGAUGAGCAGUUUCGGAGGAAUAUUGCAAAUCAUGAAUAUAGUUCUCGGGAUUCUCACGAGGGGAAUAUUCGAUCACCAAUUCAUAGAUCAUUGUGUUGUCUAAUUACAUUCACCAUCAAUCACAAGCACCACGGUGAUAAAGUACCAUCACGAAAUCUCUUCUAAAUUUGGAGCAUUAUUACGCUGGGAAUAUUUUGUGAUCUCUCUGAUAUGUUAGCAAGAUUCUUGGGACUAAGGCGGUAAAUUCUCGGUUCAGUAGUCCAACCACGGGAUGACAUUUAGUUACGUGAUUGGCACGUUCUUAUGGGAUAUUGAGUACAAUUUUUUUAAAAAAAUUUGACAUGAUUUAAGGAUUAUGAUCUAACAACUCAAUUUUUGGGUCUUAUGCGUGUUGUGGUCAAUUUGGGUGGGGGAUAUGGCAUACCCCUGGAAGAUGAAGAAGUACCAUUGGAGCAUCCCAAGGAACAACCACGGCCACGAGGAUGAAGGAACGUGAGGGCUAAAGGGGAGCAGGGUCAUCCUCAACAACAAUUUAAGGAAGUUGUCCUCACCGACCUAUUUCAAAGUUGGGCCUAUACUUAUUUAGUCAAUCCACGUGGAGGAGUGAACUUUCAUAAUGAAGCCACGGACAUCUUGUUUUCACAUUUACACAUCGAGUGUCCUCCCACCAUGCCACCUCACUAUCCCUACACACCGACUUGGGAAGAGCUUUGGGCGUUAGGACAGCACGACAGGGCCGGGCCGAGUGGAGUAAGAAGAGAUGGAGAUGAUGACUGAGUUUCUUUAUCCUUUAUAUUUUUAGUUUUUAUUUUAUCUUCUUAGUUUAUUUUUCAUGUGUUUAAUUUGUGUGUUUUUAUUUUUAUUUGGUUUUUUUGAAGACAUGUAAGCAAAUGGUAGAUGUUGGUUUUCUUGUUACAACCAAUGGUUUGUUUAGAUAGUAGAAUUAUUAGAAUGUCAAGAGAAAAAGAAAGUUGUGAGUGUUAAAGAUAAGAACCAAAGACCACACCUUUUGAUAAGUGCCGGUGAUACUCGUGUGUAAUUUUAGAAAAUAAUGGGAAGAGUUAUAGAAAAUAUGGUCUUAAAAUGCGUCUUAACACCUUAAUAGGGUAAUAGCCUUUGAACAAUGUGAAGGUUUUAAGAAGAUAUGCAAUCUAUCAUGCCGAGUUCUCACGGCGUGAGCUCUUUACCUCACGUAGUGAGCUUGAUACAAGCACGAUUCAAAAGAAUUUUACUCUAGACUCAUGACGUGACUCUCUAUACUCACGAUGUAUGAUAUGAAAGUCAUGAUUUUGCUCUUUAUUUCGACCAUGAAACGUGGAGUAUGUUUUCCCACGUUUUGGCUAAAGUAAAGUUUUUACUUUGAAGAUUUUAUGUGCAACACUUUUCGAAUAUGAAAGUUUAUGAUUCACAAUUUUUCGGUGAAUUCAAGGGUAUCAGUAAAAGUCCAAAUUCUAGUUACAUAUUCCAGAUGUUUCAGUUUUCCACACACUAUCAAGAUAUCAAUCUCACCACUGCCACCGCAGGGGAUUCUGUUCAUUUUUCUCAUUUUUUAUUUUUUUAUAGUUUUAUGUAUACAAUGAGGGUUUUGUAUGAAAUAAGUGUGGAAUACGGGUUGAAAAAGGAAUAUAAGUUUAAAAAUAGAAAAAAUUUCUAGAUUAGGAAAACUUAAAAAAAAAUUAAAUGGUUUAACUUUUAAUCUAGUGAUAAAUGAAAAUUUAAAAAAAUUAAAAAAUUUAAAAAAAUUAAAAAAAAUUAAAAAAAAAAAAAAAAAAAAAAAAAAAAAAAAAAAAACUUAAGUUGCUAGUGUUGCGUGGGAUAAUCCAAUGCGAGGACAAAUAUUUAAUUGAGCUAAUAUAUUUUAUAGUAUAUUUGUGGCUUCCCAGUCCUAGUGAAAAGUCAUGAGAUAUGAAAUGUAAUCUGGUUGUUCUAAUGACAUUAACUUUUUGCAGCGUAUACCUGAAAUUCAUCUAGAAGAGCUUAUAUAGUCAUUGCACUUAGAUUAAUAACUUUAACCAAUAAAGAUUGAAGUUUAGCUCUCUUGCUUAAGUAUGUAUGAUUUAAGAGAAAAAAGUUAUAUAUAUAUNNNNNNNNNNNNNNNNNNNNNNNNNNNNNNNNNNNNNNNNNNNNNNNNNNNNNNNNNNNAUUACUAAAAAGUUGAAAGAAUUUUGGAGCUGUCAAAAUAUGAAUAUCAAAAGAUCAAAAAUUCUGAAGAAUCAAAAAAUCAAAGAUAUCAAAAAUCAAACGAGAAGGUGUUGAAUUCAAAGAAAUCGAAAAACAAAUAUCAAAGAGGAGAUGAAUUCGAAAGCUCCAUUGUGGUAUCAAAGUUGUAAUUCUUUCUAGAUCAUAUGUAUGCUUGGGUAACUUAACCAAAAAUAUCUUAAGGUUAAGAAAUAUUUCUGAGGAUGGAUUUGGAGGGUUGCAAAAAUGAAUUUCGUACAAAAUAAGGGGUGAACAUUCAUACGGAUUGUAAGUAUUUAGGAUUGAGAAGUAUUUAGGAAUAUUAAACACGAAUAUGCACAUUGAGGUCUUGUUAUAAUGGUUGAGUUCUAAAUGGUUUGUCUUAUGUGAUGUUGGUGAUGAGAGUUUAAUUUAAAAUUUUAGUUUUGAUUGAGGGCAAGCAAAACAUAAGUAUGGGGUAUUUUGAUAUAUAUAUAUAUAUAUAUAUAUAUAUNUAUAUAUAUAUGCAUUAUUUUAAUAUAUUUAUGCUACAUUUUAGUUGAUAAUAAAGAUAUUUGGUACUUAUAAUGUUUAAAUUCUAUUUUGUAGCUAAAUAUGACAUUCUUGGAGAAAACGGACUAGAAGUGACAAACAUUGGAACUUGAAAAGACUGGAGCUUAACAGGGCUUUAAAAAAAGAACCAAGCCCAAACACUCCCCAUGACAUGGAAAAUGAGCACCAUGUCAUGUUUGUAAGAAAAGGAUCACAAUGUUUGUGCAAAAAUAGAACUCACGACGUGAGCCUUAUAAUUCUUAAAAUGUGAGGGUAAAACGUUCUAGAAGAUCAUUACGCGGAAGCCAAGUUUCCUUGAUAGAUAUGAAUUGAUACUAGCUCACAAUGUGAGACCUUAAUGCUGACGAUGCGAGGAAGGAUUUAAGUAAAUUAUAAAUACUCCGUUACACAUUCGAUUGAAAAUGUUGGAUCUGAUUUCCUGGAGUUAUAGUCGAAUUCAGAAGUCAGAGGAGAGCAAAAAACAACCAUUGCAAUAGAUAACGAUUCGAGAGUAAAAGAUUAGAAGAUCAUACAUCGCAUUCGGUUUGCAUUCAUUCAAUCAUGUUGAAUUUUUAUGAUUUAUUGUGUUUACCUUCUACCAUGAGUAGCUAAUUUAGUAGUCUUUUGUUUAGUUAGAUCAAACCUAAAACUAUGAGUUAAUUUCUUAUUUUGUGGAUUAUAUGAAUUUGGUUUAUGCAUGUGUUUGAUUAUCAUUACCUGGCAUGUUAAUGUUGUCAUCUUUGUUGCUUUAACUCAAGUUAAGUGUAGUUUAUUGACCAUUUGAAUUACAUGAACUUGUUUACAU